UUUAAAUAUAUGGUGUGGAUCUGCCUGCAGUCUGGUCAGUUACACAUGUAUUUAGCUCUAGUUUCCUUCAUAAAUUUCCCUCCACAGAGCUAUGAAUGCAUCGGGUGGGAGGGGACACUCCAUCAUCACCAUCAUUGUUGGCCUUGUCCUCCAGACCUCACAUAUUCAGCAGAAAAGUCUAGAGGCAGCUGAUGGGCAGUAACUUCAAGGCUUGCCUUAGGGAUUAGCUUUGUGCGCAGUCAAUCAAUUGCAUCUCUACCUGCGUCAUAUCUGGUGUCACAUAUGACAUGCAGUGUGGGGCAAGGGACUAUGGUUUAAAGUCUCGAGGGCCAAAUUUGGUCCAUAGGAUGGAGGCUCCCCACCCCCAGUCUCUGUGUAUGGCAGUAGCAUAAUAAGUGAAGUGGUAGAAAGUCCUUUUCGCUCCAGGCACCCUUCCUACCAGGAACUGGAAGACUUCACAGGUGUCUUUUGGAUGACAGUUUCCCACUGGAAAAGGUGCCCAGAGGGAGUGGAGCAGAGAGUUGCUGCUCCAUGACACUCAGAUGUCUCUCCAAAUAGAAUAUGGGAGCUUUCCUCGGAUGCCCCCAUGAUAGCUCAGUUGGUUAGAACAUGGUCUGAUAAUGCCAAAGUUGCAGGUUUGAUCCCCAUAUGGGGCAUUGCAGGGGAUGGACUAGACCAGGGGUCUGCAAGCUUUUUCAGCAGGGGCCAGUCCACUGUCCCUCAGACCUUGUGGGGGGCCGGACUAUAGUUUUUUUUGGAGAAAUGAACGAAUUCCUAUGCCCCACAAAUAACCCAGAGAUGCAUUUUAAAUAAAAGCACACAUUCUACUCAUGUAAAAACACGCUGGUUCUCAGACCGUCUGUGGGCCAGAUUUAGAAGACGAUUGGGCUGGAUGCAGCCCCCGGGCCUUAGUUUGCCUGCCCGUGGACUAGAUGAUCCUCAGGGUCCCUUCCAACUCUACAGUUCUAUGAUUCUAUGACACAGGGGUCUUUGAGGCAAGCUCCCAGUUCUGAAUGGGAGGAGCCUUUGUGCUCAUUUUAGACCCACAAAGCUCCAAAGGAAAUAAAAAGAGCUUGCAAGUCCGGCUGCUUUGCUUAUUGCAGCCAUGCCUCACAUGAUGACCCCAGAGGGCCUGUGCCACUGCAGGGAGCUCUGGGUCAACUUUCCCCUUCCUCUUGGGAGGAGUACUUGAAUAGAAUGGAGUGGUGCCUCUUCAAUGCUUUGCUCCCUCAGAGUCCCAGUAUGUGGGAACAAGGGAUGGAGAAGAAAAGGGAAACAGUCCAUAAUGGGAGGAGAAAGAGAGGCAGGGGUACAUAAUGGGGAGAUAGUAAUGGGCAUCCUGUGCUGGAAGGUCUGAAAAAACCUGCAGCCAGCCCUACUGGUCAGUGGAAAUGUAACUGGGGUGGUUUCAAUACAUCUGAGUUUUCCUCCUUGCCUCAUUUACUGGGUCAGUUAAACUGGCAUGAGAAUAUCUCUGAUAUUAUGCCGGCAUAGGAAUCCCAAUAGUAGCAUAUUUUCUAGAUCUACUGCUACAAGGGUCUUGUGCCAAUUCCUAAGGCACUCCAGCUGCUGUACAUUUAGCAGAGGAUUGCUUCCUGAAUAAUAGAAAUUAGACAUUCACUGGUAUUGUUUAGGUUACAUCCAAAAGCCCGACAGAUUGAUCCAUAUAAAACAGUAGGAGUUGUAUUUUCAUCCACUGUAUUCUUUUGUGUGCUGUAUGUCACAAUCCCCCACAUUCCUUAUAACAGGAUACAGAAAACAGUUCAGAAGUAUUUAAAAAAAACCAUUAAAAGUAUGUCUGGCAUCCAAUUACCGGCAGCAGUCCACUUCUGCAGAACAGGUUUUGCAAGAGUUGCUGUCUUCUGCCCAAAAUAUGCCCCCAAAACAAACAAAGAAAGAAACCAAAGCCUAACACACAAUGCCAAGCAGCCCCGGUGAAUUCCUUUUCUGACCCUUUCUGAACCAGAGUUCAAAGGGAUGUUUCAACCAAGAUUCAGCAGGAUGUUCCAACCCACAGCACAGGGGCAAACGAUAGUGGGACAUUUUCCAUGAGCAUUCUAGCAAAUCAGGAGCCAAUGUUAGGAUUGGGAGGUCCUGGUGCUUCGCACAGCUGCUCCAGAAAGCUGUCUGAGGCUUGCCUUCCCCAAAGUUAAAAAACCAGAAGAAACACUUUGGUGCAUUGUUUAAGUAACAUAAGCCAAACUUUUCCAUCCUUCCCCAAUAAUUUUGGUGAAAUGUGCUCCCACCUCAUCUUCAUUUCUCUUUUUGUACACGUCUCCCUGCAAAUGUCUGGAGGGAGUAAUCGAAAGAGAAAAUAUUGGUUCAGCACUACUUUUAAUGCUGGAGGUGGAUAUUUAACCUGUAUAUAAUCUGGCCAAGUCUAAGUGGGGGCAGCAGAUACUGGGAGGUGCGAAGCAACAACGAAGUGCUGGAGGCCAGAGCUGUGCAUGUCAUGCAGUCUGCCAAGGGUAGGAUAGAUUGGGAUCAACUGGCAGAUCUCUGGCUGAUUUGCAGUAGAUUAGCAAGAGUUUCUGACUCAUAAUUGUUUAAUAAAAGCAACGACCAGAGUACUUUCCCACCUAAUUAGGCUCCUGAAAUGAGAGGGUGGGUUAGAGAACAUAAUCAGGAGUGGACCUCUGAGUGCACAGACUUUAAGUUCAUUUAUGCCCCUUAAAAUAAUUCGUAGGCUCAAAACAUGCUUGGAGGUACCCUGUUCCUUCGUUUGAACUGUAUCUUUUCUGCAUCUCUUUGCACUUUGUUGUUUCAGGAUAGCGUUAAACUAAUUUCACAAGCAUGCAUCCUUGUAAUGAUGCCAUCCACGAUACAUAGUUCUUGUCUGAAUUUUUCCAAAUUGCACAGUGAACUGUUCAAAAUACCCCAAAAGCAUAGCCUAUAGCAAUACUUAAAACAGCUCUGUAAGGUGAGUCAGUCUUAUUAUCCCCAUAAUGCAGAUAGGGAGAUUGAUGCUGAGCAAGAUUGGCUUUCCUAAAACCAUGGCAGAGUUGAGAUUUGAACCAAGAACUUCCUGUUGCACAUGCUCCCUGUUGUUUUUGCCCUGAGAUGUGAGAUUAUGAGUGGCAUAGCACAGGGGAAAAGCGAACAGUAGAAAACUUCUAUAAUCUGAUGAUAAAUGGGGACCUGGAAAAACUCUUGUUUACAACAGAGGCAAAUAGAAGCUGCUGAUGGAUUAUGUGACACAUGAUGAAUAUUUUUAACAGUUAGAAGAUAUUGUAAAUUGCUGAGACAGUGACAAUGGGAAAUAGCAAGUGAAAGAAAGAUACUGUCUGAUAGCUAACGAAAAGCAAUUUUAGUCAGGUUUCUUGCCACUUGCAAAAUCAUCUUCUUGGUCCCAGCAUAAAGAUAAGCAUCAGCAAAUGGUCUGUUGUAAAGGAUGGACAAUAAUGAGGUGAUUAGUCUAGCUGAAUAAAUGGAGACAUAUUAUCUGAAAUGUCGUUUUCCUUAAUCUGUAUUAUUAUCUUGGAAUGGAGUUCUUCUUAAUAUUUGAAUUCUGCCUAAAUCGCAAAGAAUCAAAUUUGUUCUUGCCUUGCUUGCCUCUAUAACGUCAAAGCCAAUGGCUUUCUGAAUCAUCCACAACAGAGCACUUAUUGUUUGAGUGUGCUCCUAGAUUCAGCCCUGAAUCUGUGAUGCCCUAGAGCUCUUUUGCAUAACUAAGGGUACUGCACCAACUGCAUCCAGUCCUGAAGACGUUAGAUCUGUCCCUGGUGGUGUGCGCCUUACUCAUUUGCACAGCUGUAACACACUGUACACAAAUCUGUCUGCAUUUGAAGAGUGUUUGGAAACUUUAGCUGGUUCUGAACAUUGCAGCCAUACUAUUGGCUGCGAACCAGGUAUAGUUAGCUUGUGACUCCCAUGUUACCACAGUGGCAGUGGCCACCAAUCCAUUACUAGGCACAAUUCAAAAUGCUGGUUAUGACCUACAAAGCCCACUAUUACUUUAGACCUGAAAGACUGUGUUUUCCAACAUGAACUUGUAUGGGGUUUAAGAACUUCUGGAGAGGUCCUUCUUUCUGUCCCACCAAAACUUUAAGAAUGUUUGGUGUGAAGUCAAGGGAGCCUUCCCAGUGGCUGUUCCUGGGCUUUCAAACACAUUGGUUGUGUUAACUGCUAAGCACCUUUAUAUUGGAAGGGAGGGUAUAAAUAUGAUUGAUACCUAGUCAGACAGACAUUGAUAGGUUCCCCAUCCUUUAUUGAAAAGUACACACCUGCUUGAUGUCACCAGUGUUUCUCCAAAAGGCAAGUGGCAUCUUUAUAACUCCUUGCUCAUACUUUCAGCAUUUGGAUCUAUUAUCGCAAAGAAACCAGGUAUGUUCACCUCACCUCAUUUGUGUCUCCUAAUAACAUCCACUCUAGCCAUCUUGAGAUAACAUGAGACAACUCUUCAGAUGUCUAAUUAUUUUUCUACACCUGGGAUCAUAUGGAACUGCUAAGUAAUGUGUGGGUGGGAGGGAAGCAAGCACAUAGCAUCCAGAAGGAGGAACGCUAUAGGUUGUUCUGUCUGUUUGGUAGGCUGUUCUUCGCCCACUGCAGGUUCCUCAUCUGUGGGAGAAACAAGGGGGAAUGACAAAUCUAGUUUCCUUCUGGAAGGAAAAUAACAGCUGCUAAAUGAUAAUUGCCAAGCAGCUGCGAGGAUAAACAAACCCACAAGCAUGCGCUGCUGUUGACCCCCUAGAAGGAAACAUAAUUUCCUACUGCUCCACACAGCAGCUAUUUGCUAAAGAAAAACAAAGGAAGAAACAUUUCUAAUUAUUGAAAGGAUUUCUUGUGGCUUUCCUUUUAAUGAAGAAUUCUGAUGGUUUGCACUGGUUUUUAAGCAAGAGCCAGAGAUGUAAAGCAAGGAAUCAUCUCCAAGUGCUUGCAGCUUGCAGAAUGCAUCAGCUUUUGCAGAGUUGACUGGUGAGGAAAUAGACACAGCCUUGAUAUCACCCCCCACCCCCACCCCAAGGAAUCCAGGACCGUAAUGGAAUUGUAAAAGGAGAUCUUUUGAUAUUUUUCUUUUCUUUUUGCUUCUGUCUAUUCUGUGGGUCCCUGAAGGAAACAUUAUGUCUUGUACACACACCAAGAGCUGUAGUGACUUGUUUUCUGGAUCAAAAUAGGGGACUUCAGGGGACAUUAAUUGGAUCCACAUCCAGUUUUUCAAAGGUUCACAUUCAUUUGUGUGGCACCAUUUUGUUCCCUCCUGUAUUUACUACAAAAAAAUAAUAAUCCUAGUUUCACCCUGCCCUGUUUUUAGAUCUGGCUUCCACCCCAGUCUUUUCUCAUACAAGAAUGCCUCUCAGUGCCCUCAGGCUGUGUUAUUGAUUAUGUCCCUCUUUCUGCUUGGUUUCACCUGUUUCUUGGCCUCGUUUGUCAGAUGCAAUAUGCCAGUCAAUUCCAUUAAGCAUAUGUGAUGAUUAAUUGCAGAAUAGCAGUGCAUACUUUGCAGGACCUCCUGCAAAAACCUACACAAGAACAAAACCAAAAAAGUUUUAGUUUAUGUCAACAGCAUAUUGUUUUCUUGAUAGGGUAAAUGUUAAUUGUCUGUUUCUUUCUAUUAUUUUAAUUUUGUUUUGUUAAUGUUACAAAUCUUCUUAUGGAACAUAUAUUCCAUAAGUUGAGAAGUUUUUAAUAUUUAAUACACAGUUGUGUUUUUAUACUAUGUUGGAAGCUGCCCAGAGUGGCUAGGGAAACCCAGUCAGAUGGGUGUGGUGAGGUAUCUUUUUUGGCCAAUAGUCUGAUCAAACAGGGCUCCUAUUUGUGAUCCUUCCAUCAGUAAACUGAUGAGAGUCAUUUAUUUAUUUUGCUAGUUCUUGACCUUUAUUCUUUUUCUUAUGUUGUUUCUGUCUGUCUGUCCUCUUCCAUCAGGAACUCAGCUGUCUCUCUGUGCCUCAUCCUUUUCCUGUGCUCGUGGUCAUACAAUGGGGCUGUCUCAUUUUAUCACUAUGAAGAAGAUUAAAUGCAGAGAUGAUGAACAGUCCCUGCCUCCUUCUUCCACAAAUGUUCCCCACCACAAUGUUUACUGUCAUUAUGGUGGCUAAUUGUAGCUGAG